rnacentral:tRNA from 1 species
UGGGCAAGUAGUUAAAAAAUCAACAUUUAAUUUGCAAUUAAAAAUUAUUAUAAAUAAUCUGCCUAA